rnacentral:rRNA from 1 species
GACGAACGCUGGCGGCGUGCUUAACACAUGCAAGUCGAACGGUGAAGCCCUUCGGGGUGGAUCAGUGGCGAACGGGUGAGUAACAUGUGAGCAACCUGCCCUUGACUCUGGGAUAACUACCGGAAACGGUGGCUAAUACUGGAUAGGACGCAUUCGGGCAUCCGGGUGUGUGGAAAGUUUUUCGGUCAGGGAUGGGCUCGCGGCCUAUCAGCUUGUUGGUGGGGUGAUGGCCUACCAAGGCGACGACGGGUAGCCGGCCUGAGAGGGCGACCGGCCACACUGGGACUGAGACACGGCCCAGACUCCUACGGGAGGCAGCAGUGGGGAAUAUUGCGCAAUGGGCGGAAGCCUGACGCAGCGACGCCGCGUGGGGGAUGGAGGCCUUCGGGUUGUAAACCUCUUUCAGCGCCGAAGAAGCGUGAGUGACGGUAGGCGCAGAAGAAGCACCGGCUAACUACGUGCCAGCAGCCGCGGUAACAC